CAGCAGCCGCGGGAAAACAGAGGGUGCGAGCGUUAAUCGGAUUUACUGGGCGUAAAGCGUGCGUAGGCGGCUUCUUAAGUCGGAUGUGAAAUCCCUGAGCUUAACUUAGGAAUUGCAUUCGAUACUGGGAAGCUAGAGUAUGGGAGAGGAUGGUAGAAUUCCAGGUGUAGCGGUGAAAUGCGUAGAGAUCUGGAGGAAUACCGAUGGCGAAGGCAGCCAUCUGGCCUAAUACUGACGCUGAGGUACGAAAGCAUGGGGAGCAAACAGGAUUAGAUACCCCCGUAGUCCCUGUCUCUUAUAU
rnacentral:rRNA from 1 species